GAUGAACGCUGGCGGCGUGCCUAAUACAUGCAAGUCGAGCGAACAGACGAGGAGCUUGCUCCUCUGACGUUAGCGGCGGACGGGUGAGUAACACGUGGAUAACCUACCUAUAAGACUGGGAUAACUUCGGGAAACCGGAGCUAAUACCGGAUAAUAUAUUGAACCGCAUGGUUCAAUAGUGAAAGACGGUUUUGCUGUCACUUAUAGAUGGAUCCGCGCCGCAUUAGCUAGUUGGUAAGGUAACGGCUUACCAAGGCAACGAUGCGUAGCCGACCUGAGAGGGUGAUCGGCCACACUGGAACUGAGACACGGUCCGGACUCCUACGGGAGGCAGCAGUAGGGAAUCUUCCGCGAUGGGCGAAAGCCUGACGGAGCAACGCCGCGUGAGUGAUGAAGGUCUUCGGAUCGUAAAACUCUGUUAUUAGGGAAGAACAAAUGUGUAAGUAACUAUGCACGUCUUGACGGUACCUAAUCAGAAAGCCACGGCUAACUACGUG
rnacentral:rRNA from 1 species